AGCGCAGGCGGGAGAACAAGUUGGAAGUGAAAUCCAUGGGCUCAACCCAUGAACUGCUUUCAAAACUGUUUUUCUUGAGUAGUGCAGAGGUAGGCGGAAUUCCCGGUGUAGCGGUGGAAUGCGUAGAUAUCGGGAGGAACGCCAGUGGCGAAGGCGGCCUACUGGGCACCAACUGACGCUGAGGCUCGAAAGUGUGGGUAGCAAACA
rnacentral:rRNA from 1 species